UAAUCUUUAUUACCUUUUAUUUCUGUCUUUUCACGUGUAUACUGACUGGAGGAUCAUCAUGCAGCCAUUUUCGCGAGGACGACCAGAUCUGUGACCCUUGGGGGUCAAUAUGAUACCCUGGUGGGGCUCCCGCCAAGUGAGAAGGACUACCGCCAUCUCGUGUCUGACGACACGAUGUUGGUGUGUAAGUUAAUCUCUGCAGGCCAAACUCUGGUCUUGAGGAGGACGCGGGCCAAUCAUCCAGUAGCCCGCGUGCUGGCGCCUAUUCCCGAGGGCGAUGCCGCGGUCGACGGUGGCGAUGAGCAGGAAGAGGAGGCCGAGGUGCUGCUCGUGCGGAAGAGACGAGCUCCGGAGGCUGCUCGGGACCCCGAUUUGGACCGAGCUUAGUCAGGGGCAGCAGCUAGCCCCUCCGACCAAGGUAACCCAUACCCCUUUCGAGACCUAGAUAGGGUAGCUGCAGACCUUAGGCUAGUUAGGUUUAAUCCAAACCAACUCGUGCACUGCCACCAAAAUGACCCAGACUGAGACAUAACCUUGCUCCAAUGCGUAGAUCAAUUAGUACUGCGUCAUGACAUGGGUCGUCCUAGGGGUACUGUAGUAGUGGACAACACUUUGUCUUUUAGGUCGGCCUUUUUUGAGGAGUAUGGGACUAACCUUAGGUCGUGGCCCUCCCUUCUCAAGGGUACAGUCGCUCCUGGACUUAGGCAAUACGUGGAGGAAUCCAGUCCCGAGGUAGAGCCUGACCUAGAACCUCCCCUAAUCCAAGAAGUGGUUGAUUUAGACUUUCCUUCCCCUGUAGCAGCUCCAAGACCGAAGGUCGUGGAAAUAGACUCUUCCUCUAGCUCGGAGGGCGAGGAGAUGACACAGAGAGGAGAACCUGACAUCCGCUUGAUGUUCCAAGAAGGGAGAUCCAGUGAGGGUCCCCUUGUCAAGAGGCUUCGGCCUACUUCAAAGAAAACGCCGCCCCCGGCUGCGACUGCCUCCCAAUCCCUGGCUAAGGGGAAAGGCUCAGGCUCAGGAGCUCUGCCCGCCACAGCCCUGAAGAAAAGAGGUCCGACUACGCCCCUUCCUCGCCUUCCUCCACCUCCUGCUUGAGAACCGGUAGCACCGGUUGGUCCCCAAGCUCCAGUGGUCCCUGUUGCCACUGUUCGCAUCCCCGUCAACCCCCAGGAUCUGGAGCUGAUUCCAGACACUUUUUGGGGGACCGUCUACGAGACGGUGAACUACUGGGUGGAGCACUUUUGCAAGGCCAAGCCCAACGACCUGAGGGCGAUUUGAGGAGAGGAGCCCGGAGAAUGUCAUGGAGUCUGCCUUGGGGAUGAACCUCACAGCGGUCUUGGCUCAACACUGCAGCAUAUCUCAGGCUAGGGCCAGGAAUGAAGAACUCAAGGCCGAGCUGACUGCGUCCCAAGUUGCUCUCACCGCUUCUCAACAGAGUGAACAGAGUGCCAAGGUUGCUUUGGUGGCGGCCCAUGCGAGUGAACAGGCGGCGAAGGCCUCUUUAACCACUGCCUGAGAAGGCGAGCAGGCGGCGAAGGCAGCCUCGGUAGCCCUUCAGGCCGAGCUUGAGGGGGUCAAGGCAAAACUGCUCGAGGUUGAGGCGGCCAUUCUGGAGGAGAAGAAGGCAUCGACGUCCUCCAUGGAGAGUAUGUUGUACCACUGCUGGGCCUUCAACCAGGACAACAACUUCUCCUUCAUGGCCUCCGACGCAUGGGGGCACUACCUCGAGAAGUUGAAAGUUCGGCUGCAAAAGGAGCUGCAGGCGCCGACUGAGACCGGGGAGACUUCUGCUGUGGGUGAGCGGGAGACUGAGGAGGUGACGUCCUCAAAACAGUCUGGGAGAGCCUAGAAUUUUUUUGUAUUUUUACUUUUAUUUACUUCUGUUUGUAAAUACUAAGCACGAGGUUAUUCUCAUCGAGACAAUUUAUAUGUAUUAAUUUUAGUUAUUUCAA